CUCGGGAGUGCGGUCGGCAGUAGAGCCUGGCGGUGUCUUGGCUUCGGCGCUUUAACCCUGUAGGGGCGUGCGACUGCGUCCUUCUCAAGGGGGCGCCCCUCGAGCGGCGGGCUGAGUGGCGUCCAGCGGCGGGGAGGCGAAAACCCUGGGGGACUCAGAAGCGGGUGGCGGUGUAGGGCGUGUAAGGAGGAGAUAGCCAGGCCCCUGCGGGGGGGGCGGGCCCUCCUUAGCGUCCCAGAGGGCUUGUCUGCUACAGGGGCUCCCAGCGGCCUCCCGCACCGAAGGGACCCUGGGCGUCUGAGGCCCUGAUCCGGGCGGGCCUUCAGGAUGUUAGCAGUCCCUGUCCGGUUGAAGGUAGGAAGCCGAAAACCCGAGUGGGGGACGAACAGACUUACCUCCUGUCCCGCAAAAGAUCCACUAGAUCGUCGUCUCCAAAACCUGAGAGACCGCGAACGGGUUCCAGAGCCGCAGCGUUCUCUCAGACCUGGCGUUCAGGAAGAUUCUAGAGAGCACGGGCAGGUCCCGGAGGUCUCAGACCCGCAGGUAGAUCUCGAAUUCGUAGACUUGCAGGCGAAGCCCAGAUAUCGUAGGCUGAUCCUAAAGACUCAGAUUCCCGAGGCCUCAGACUCGCAGGCAGCUCAGAAACCACAGGCUCAUAGGCAGAUCCCUGAGACCACAGAGGCUGGCCGAGAAACCACCAGCAACUAAGCUGCAUUCAGCUGGAGUUCCUCGGAACGGGAGGACUCGCAGCUCUCCCUUUCCCCAGCCAGGAUGAGGGAAUUAGACAAUGGAAGUCGAGCACUGGGGAAAGCAGGCAUUCUGCGUGGGGAAGAGCUCCCAGCUCGCUGUAGCCUUGGAGAGGGAAGUGAUGGAAAAAGAAUAUAGCAGCUUAUUAGGGACUCCCACCCUCUUCAAGUUAUAAAUAUCCCCAGAACCUUGGCUACGUGCCCGGAAGCCUGUUGUCUCUAACUGUACAGGAGACUUCUCUGCCUGGGCUGGGAAAGGGGCCUUUCUUUUGUUUUGCAGAUAGAUCCACCCACUGAGGAACUUGAAAAUUUUUUUCAAACAUAACUCCAGGCCUUGCUUUUAUUAGUGAGUGUCCUGUUCCCAGUGCCCGGUUAUUUAUGAUUAAAUUACUGAAGUGUCUAAAAAGAACAGAAGGACCCACCCCAGCCAUAAUGCAGACUUUCCCAUUCCUUCUCUUUCCACCCGCAACUGUGGGGCUAAGAAUUCUUAAGAUGUCACAGAAUUAUACCAUCCUACCUCAUCUAAAGUCGAUCCGAGGCUGGUCCGAUGGUAGUGGGUUACCAGAACUUAAUAACAUUAAUAACUCUAAAGUUAGUAUACAACCCCCCACUGCUAAAUUUGGCUAUAAAAAUAAAAUUGAUCUGAGCACCAUAUAAAAUGGAAUCCUGGAGGGUCCCCUAGAGGCAGUAUCCCCAGUGGAAAGAGCGUGGGCCUCAAGGUCAGACAAGCCUGGUUUGGAAUCCAGGCUGUGUAUCCUUUGGAAAGUCAUUGAAUCCAGGCCCAUUUCCUUUUCUCUAAAAUGAGGGUCAUCAUACCUAAGGAUGUUGUGAGGCGUGAGUGAGAUGAUUAAAGCGUUCCAGAGAGUGCGCUCUUGGAUGAUAGCCGUUACUUUUUAUUAACCCUGGCUUUGGUGGUAAGGGAAACUUCCAGAAAUGCUUGUGGGUAUAUUGGAUAGCUCAGAAAAUCUGGGAAAUCAAAGUGGCUCAAUAGCUGUGAGGAACUGUGGGUGACUUUAUCCUCACAUCGUGUUUCUUCCAGAAAUUCAGACGCAACAGAGGUUAGGCCAGUUUGGUGGGUUCCAGUGAGCGGUGUGUUGAGCCUAGUAGAGCAUAGGUACUUGGGGUUGCCAAAACCCCAGCAAGUUGAGGCUUCACGCUCAGGGAAACUUCUGGGUCAGAGGUUAAUAACCACGCUCCUUGGAGCAAGGAGGAGGGGAGCCUUUCUGACUAGCUGAAGUAAUUGCAGGUUUCUAACUGGGCCUAAGGUGAGCUGAGGGCUUGAGCCCCUCAGCCCAGCGGGGGUCCCUUUUCAUCCCUUCUCUGACAGAUUGCUUUGUAAACUUUCUUAGGCCUUCCCCCCACCCCUUUGCCCCAGUGCUUUAAGCCCUUCUUUGUCUUCUUGCUGUUUCUUUUAUUCCUCAGGCCUGCGGGGCGGGGGCGGGGUGGCGCCCAGGACGACUCCCCGGGCUCAGCUUGGCUGCCUGCCUCCUUCUGUAAGUGCUUUUUUUUUCUUCACCUGGGACCCUCUAGAGGUUGGAAAGAGAAGAGAGGCUGGGAGCGGAUGGAAAGCAUGACUGCAUCUGGAGCCCCUGGGGGGAGUGGGGAAGAGGGAGUGGAAGGACAGUGGCUGAGGGGCUUCCUGUUGCAGCCUUCAGCUGGACUCAGGGUUGGGGUCACUGGAGGAGGAGGUGGCUUCCUGCCCCAUUGUUCUGGACUGCAGUGUUUCUUGGGAAUACUUACUGUAUGUGGAUUUUCAGUAACCAACUUGGAAAGCUGUAUUUGUUCCCAUGAUUCAGCAAACAAUGAGUACCUACUGUGUGUAGAAGCAGCAGGACAGCCUGUCAUCACUGGGAAAGAGGCCAGAAGAGCCGUUUGGCCAGGGUCUCCAAUUUAGGCUUUCAACAUUAUCUCUAAAGAAGGUUAUACAUUAUGUCGGCUCCACUGGCUGAUGGGAUCAAAGACCCUCCUUGUAUAUCCUUAAACCUGUACUCUAUUACCAGGCCACUGUGCCUGUGGAGCACUGUAAGUUCCUACCUUUUAAUAAAUUUUAUAAUUAUCUUGUGAGCAGCACAAUUGUCAUAGUUUUUUGUAUCAGAAACAUUAAUUUGUUAAACAUUUUAAAAAAAAAAAAAA
rnacentral:lncRNA from 1 species